GCUUGUCUCAAAGAUUAAGCCAUGCAUGUCUAAGUAUAAGCACUUAUACCGUGAAACUGCGAAUGGCUCAUUACAUCAGUUAUAGUUUAUUUGAUAGUCCCCACUACUUGGAUAACCGUAGUAAUUCUAGAGCUAAUACAUGCGUCAAGUCCUGACUGCGCGAGCGGAAAGGAUGUGUUUAUUAGAUACAACCAAUGCGGGGCAACCCGGUAUAUGGUGAUUCAUAAUAACUUUCGGAUCGAUCUUCGGAUCGAUGCAUCAUUCAAGUUUCUGCCCUAUCAGCUUUGGAUGGUAGGGUAUUGGCCUACCAUGGCUUUAACGGGUAACGGAGAAUUAGGGUUCGAUUCCGGAGAGGGAGCCUGAGAAAUGGCUACCACAUCCAAGGAAGGCAGCAGG
rnacentral:rRNA from 1 species